ACAACAGGAAGUAAUCAGGAAGCAAAAAGGCCUCCUGACCUAAGCUUCCUUCCUGGGCACAAAGUCUUCCUGCCCUGCCAAUAUGGCAGCCUCCAGCCAGAUGGGGCAGCACAGCUGGUCCCAGCACAGUGGACUAGAACAGGGGUGUGAGGACUGUCCGACUGGGAGGUGUGUCACCAUACUGACUGCCAGGGUUGAUGCUACUGAUCUGGCUCAUUAGGAGGGUACCCGCUUCCUCCGUCGAGGUGGCUCCAUGUGUGUCUCUCCUGAAGCUGUGUGCAUGGUGGAGAAGGAAGACUUUCCCUGAGAGACGAGGACAGAUCUUCCAUCAAGGGGCAAGCAGGCAGCUGUGCUCCUCUACUGGAACCUUCAGACAACCUCUCCAGGGUGUAAACUGGCUGGCUAACAACUUUACGUUAAUAAUAGUAGAGACUGGGCGGUGCUCUGGUACUAACGUGGGUUUUACCCUUUGGUUUUCUCUUUUUAACAAUGGCUUUUGGGAAAUGUGUAUUUCUGGAGAGCUGUGUAGAUAUUAGUCAGCUCACUAAUCUGGGCAGCCACCCUGUGGAGUAGACACUGCCACGUACUGAAGGUGAGAAAAUGGAGACCACACAGUCACCCAGAAACAGAAAGGCAGGUCUGGGGCCAGACACCAGGGUCUCAGAGUCCAGCCCUGGGUCCUUGGAUGCCUGGGAGUCCUGCCCCAGGAACAGCAGAGCACUGCCCACUCGGUGUCCACUGUCAGCAGAACCAGUGGUUAAAGGAUGAGACGGAAGUGCUGGCGAAGGGGACCUAAUCCAGCACACAGUGAAACCUUCAUCCCUGCUGCAUCUUACCCCACCCCUUUCCAUCAGGGAACCAGGCCUUUCCACCGAGUGACAGUUUGGAGAGAGAGGGUGGGAUUCUGCCCUCUCCCUGGAGUACAAUUGUACUAAGAGGCUCCUCUGUGCUAUCCAAAGAAAUGUUAUGACAGCGAUGGUGUUGGGUUGGGUGAACAUCGUUGUGUAAGCCCCCACACAUGACCAGAUGAUAAGCUGAAAGCAUGCAGGGUGUCUUUACCUGAGCUUCCCAGCAUCCCUACAAAUACCUCAAACAAGACCUUGGUAAAGUCAGACCCUCGUGGGCACAGGGGGCCUUCAGCCAGUGUGGCUUCAAAGAAAGGCAGCAGGAUGACAAUCCCUACCCUGAAAGACACAGCACAUCCUCAGCACUAGGAGACAUUGAGGAGGCCAUGACUUCUCAGGAAGUGGCUUGUCACAAAUGUGACACAGCCUUCCUGGUCACUGUCCCCAAGCAGCUGAGUUCACACAUGUCCAAUGUGCCACUCUGAGCUACAUGCAUGUUCCUUGCCUUUGUUUUUCCUUGUUUGCUUUUCUGAGACAAGACUUUGACUGUAGACCAGGCUGGCCCAUCCUUUACCAGCCAAGCAUCAAGACUGCCAGCAUGCUGCCAUACCUGAUUACACUGUUUCUGAGAAAAACAUUCCUCCAUUUGUCAUAUGAUUAAGGUGUCACAUUUACCCUUAACAAACCUGUCACUUGCCAGGUGAGUCACCAGGGCACGAUGACCUGCUGGGCAUGCCUCCUUGAGUGGUUCCUGGGGUACAGGUCCAGAGGCCGGGGUGCACUGGCAGGGUGUGUCCAGCCUCAUGCUUUUCAACCCACUCUAUUUGCCUUGAGUAGUACCGUGUGGCUUCUCUUCAUUGCUUCUCAAAACUCUUGCUUCAAAGAUGCUGACUUGGACGGGCACUCCAGCAGGGAGCUGAUCCCAGGCCAGGGGAGUUAGACCAGCCUGGGCUACAAGACCUUGUUUGGAAAAGGAAAACUGAAUACUACCCCCAUUGCAAUGACUCGAGUACUGGAAACAGCAUUCCGAUCAUCCUUGUCAUGUGACUUCACAAGAGCAUCCAGGUGCUUCCUGCAAUCAAUCUCUGGAGUCUGUGUCACCGAGUGUGCCUGCUGUCUGUGUCACCAUGUGUACUUGCCCUGCCUGGCAGAGCACAGCUGUGCUCUGAACAUCUAUGCUUCUCCAAGAUUUGACAAGAUGGCUGAAGCUGAGCCCCAAGGUGAAGUCAUGUAGAUGUGGGGCCUUUGGGAUGUGAUUAGGUCAUUGAGAACACCACCCUGUGACCAGAGCCCUGUGAAAGAGGCUGGUGGGACACUGGCGCUUCUUCCACCCAUGUGAGGACGCACGAAAGACAUUUAAUUUAGAAGCCAACUAUGACAGGACUGAGCAGGGUGACGUUUUCACGAUCUGUGACUAUACCAGGAAAACAUACAAUCACACCUUUAAACAUGAAUGUGAAUUGAUUGUUAAAAAGAAUGCUAGAGCGGCUGCAGUAAGUCCAGCUAAGCGAACUUCGAGACAAAGAAAACAGCUGAGGACAAAGGAACUGAAGUGUGAUGAUUCAGGGUAAGCUCAUUAGGAAGCUGUGACCAUAAACAUGUACGCGCCUCACAGCAGUGCUUCAGAAUACAUGUGCAGUCGGAGGGAGGGAGGCAGGCAAACUCUACAGCUAUGCUUAGAGAGUUCACUGCUUCUUGCUCCUUAACUGAUAAAAGAAACACACAAGAAACCGUUGACAUCUUAGCUGCUCUUCUGUUGCUGUGAUAAGACACCAUGACCAAGGCAACUUAAUAGAGAAAGCAUUUGAUUGGAGUUGGGUUCCAGGGGGUUAGAGUCAAAGACAGGGCAGCUAGGAGUUCCCUUCUCAGUCACAAAUGAGGCAGAGAGCACUUUGGGAAUGGUCAAAGGCUCUUGAAACCUCAAAUCCCACCCCUGGUGACACACCUCCUCCAACAAGGCCACACUUCUUAGUCCUUCAUAAACAGUUCCAAAGACUGGGCACCAAGUAUCCGGACAUAUGAGCCUGUGGAGGUCAUGCACAUUCACAGCAGAACAACUGAAGACUAAACAGCACUAGCAAGUUGACCCAGGCAACAUUUGGAGAGUGUUCCACCCAACAAAGGCAAUUCCUUGUCAAAUUUAUAUGGAUUUUCUCGAGACAGACUUUAUCUUGAGUCACAUGAUUAAGUUUUAACACAUUUGAAAGUAACUGCAGUCCUGGGACCCCAUCUGUCUGGAGGUAGAUGCAAGAGCAUCAAGGGUUCAAGGUCAUCUCCAGCUACAUAAUAAAGUUGAGGCUAGCUUAUGCUGCAUGGGUCCCAUCUCAAAUAAAUACUGAAAUUAUGUAAUGUAUGUCCUCUAAGCAUAAUUUAUGGGGUUAAGUUAGAAUCAAUGACAAAAGGAUAUUUAGAAAAUCCCCUAAAUAUUUGGAAAUUAAGCAACAUACUUCUAAAUAAUCCCUGAGCCAAAAAGUCAGUCACAAGAGAAACUAUAAAAUGUUUUGAAUGGAAUGAAAAUGAAAACACAACUUAUCAAAAUGUGUGGGCCUCAGAGAAGCCAGCACUGACAGGGAAGUUGACAGCAUCAAAGGUUUGUGUCAGGAAAGGAAACCGUUUUCAAAUAAACGCCUAAACUUACCCCUUCAGAAACUAGAAAAAAGUGCAAACCAAACCCAAUGGAAGCAAAGUAAGGGGGAUUAAACAUAAAUAGACAAAACAGGAAACAGAAAAGACAUGACACCAAAAGGAAAGCUGUUUGUUUUCUGUUUGUGCUGCCUGAGACUAAACCCAGGGUGCUGUGUGUGUUAGAAAGGGGCUAUGCGGAGCCACAUCUCCAGGCCCCAAGAGCCCAUUCCUUACAAUGUAUCAAACCUCGAGUGCAGCGCACGCCUUUAAUUCCAGCACUUCAGAGGCAGAAGCACGUGGAUGAGGCCAGGUCUACAGGGUGACUUUCAGAUCAGCCAGGAGGAGGACAUCGAGAGAACCUGUCUCAAAAGAAAAAAAAAAAAAGAAAACUUUAAUAAUGACCAGAUUGAGGGAAAAGAAAAGAAAUAGGUCAGAAAUCACCAAAAUGAAAGCUGUCAUAAAUGCCCCAGAGACAGUAGUCAGGAAUGUUACCAACAAUUCUACCGUGCACUUACCAAUUUAGAUGAAACUGUGUUAUUUCUUUUGUUGUUGUUUUGUUUUUCAAGACAGAAUUUCUUUGAGUAGGCCUGGCUGGAAAUUGAUUUAUUUCUAUACACAACUCAGGAUGAAGCAGAUGACUUAAGCAGUCUUCUUUCUAUUAAAGGAACCCAAUACAUCCAAUUUUCUUUUUGAAAUCCUCUGGAAAGGAAAUCCCGAGGCCUAGAGAGGUGGC